GCAAGUCGAGCGGUAGAAUGUCUUCGGAUGCUUGAUACCGGCGCACGGGUGCGUAACGCGUAUGCAACCUACCUUUUACUGGGGGAUAGCCGGGAGAAAUUAGGAUUAAUGCUCCAUAUGAAGGUACGACCUCAUGGUCAAGAGAGGAAAGCUCCGGCGGUAAGAGAUGGGCAUGCGUCCUAUUAGCUUGUUGGUGAGGUAACGGCUCACCAAGGCUACGAUAGGUAGGGGGCCUGAGAGGGUGAGC
rnacentral:rRNA from 1 species